rnacentral:rRNA from 1 species
GAUGAACGCUGGCGGCGUGCCUAAUACAUGCAAGUCGAGCGAACAGACGAGGAGCUUGCUCCUCUGACGUUAGCGGCGGACGGGUGAGUAACACGUGGAUAACCUACCUAUAAGACUGGGAUAACUUCGGGACACCGGAGCUAAUACCGGAUAAUAUAUUGAACCGCAUGGUUCAAUAGUGAAAGACGGUUUUGCUGUCACUUAUAGAUGGAUCCGCGCCGCAUUAGCUAGUUGGUAAGGUAACGGCUUACCAAGGCGACGAUGCGUAGCCGAACUGAGAGGGUGAUCGGCCACACUGGAACGGAGACACGGUCCAGACUCCUACGGGAGGCAGCAGUAGGGAAUCUUCCGCAAUGGGCGAAAGCCUGACGGAGCAACGCCGCGUGAGUGAUGAAGGUCUUCGGAUCGUAAAACUCUGUUAUUAGGGAAGAACAAAUGUGUAAGUAACUAUGCACGUCUUGACGGUACCUAAUAAGAAAGCCACGGCUAACUACGUG